AUUGAACGCUGGCGGCAGGCCUAACACAUGCAAGUCGAACGAGUGGCGGACGGGUGAGUAAUGUCUGGGAAACUGCCUGCUGGAGGGGGAUAACUACUGGAAACGGUAGCUAAUACCGCAUACCAUCGGAUGUGCCCAGAUGGGAUUAGCUAGUAGGUGGGGUAAAGGCUCACCUAGGCGACGAUCCCUAGCUGGUCUGAGAGGAUUACCAGGCACACUGGAACUGAGACACGGUCCAGACUCCUUCGGGUGGCAUCAGUGGGGAAUAUUGUACAAUGGGCGCAAUCCUGAUGCAGCCAUGCCGCGGGUAUGAUGAAGGCCUUCGGGUUGUAAAGUACUUUCAGCGGGGAGGCGUUACCCGCAGAAGAAGCAACGGCUAACUCCGUGCCAGCAGCCGCGGGAAUUC
rnacentral:rRNA from 1 species